rnacentral:misc_RNA from 1 species
GAAAUGCGAUAAGUAGUGUGAAUUGCAGAAUUCAGUGAAUCAUCGAAUCUUUGAACGCACAUUGCGCCCCUUGGUAUUCCAUGGGGCAUGCCUGUUCGAGCGUCAUCUACACCCUCAAGCUCUGCUUGGUGUUGGGCGUCUGUCCCGCCCCCGCGCGUGGACUCGCCCCAAAUCCAUUGGCAGCGUUCCUUGCCCCCUCUCGCGCAGCACAUUGCGCUUCUCGAGGGCGGCUCCGGGACGCGAUCCAGCAAGAUGACCACCGUCUUGACCUCGGAUCAGGUAGGGAUACCCGCUGAACUUAAGC